ACAGCAGUCGCCGCGGUAAUACAGAGGGUGCAAGCGUUAAUCGGAAUUACUGGGCGUAAAGCGCGCGUAGGUGGUUUGUUAAGUUGGAUGUGAAAGCCCCGGGCUCAACCUGGGAACUGCAUCCAAAACUGGCAAGCUAGAGUACGGUAGAGGGUGGUGGAAUUUCCUGUGUAGCGGUGAAAUGCGUAGAUAUAGGAAGGAACACCAGUGGCGAAGGCGACCACCUGGACUGAUACUGACACUGAGGUGCGAAAGCGUGGGGAGCAAACAGGAUUAGAUACCCCUGUAGUCCCUGUCUCUUAUAC
rnacentral:rRNA from 1 species